rnacentral:rRNA from 1 species
GCCCAUGGCCAUAGCACCCUGAGAGCGCCCGACCUCGGAAGCUAAGCAGGGUCGGGCCCGGGCAUUACUUGGAUGGGAGACUGCCUGGGAGUACCGGGGGCUGUAGGCA